rnacentral:rRNA from 1 species
AACGAACGCUGGCGGCAUGCCUAACACAUGCAAGUCGAACGAGACCUUCGGGUCUAGUGGCGCACGGGUGCGUAACGCGUGGGAACCUGCCCUUAGGUUCGGAAUAACUCCCCGAAAGGGGUGCUAAUACCGGAUAAUGUCUUCGGACCAAAGAUUUAUCGCCUUUGGAUGGGCCCGCGUUGGAUUAGCUAGUUGGUAGGGUAAAAGCCUACCAAGGCGACGAUCCAUAGCUGGUCUGAGAGGAUGAUCAGCCACACUGGGACUGCGACACGGCCCAGACUCCUGCGGGAGGCAGCAGUGGGGAAUAUUGGACACUGGGCGAAAGCCUGAUCCAGCAAUGCCGCGUGAGUGAUGAAGGCCUUAGGGUUGUAAAGCUCUUUUACCCGGGAUGAUAAUGACAGUACCGGGAGAAUAAGCUCCGGCUAACUCCGUG